GUCAUUUGAUGAUGAGAGCAAUGGAGACAUGUGUACGUGUCUAGAGUUGAAUAAGGAAAUUGAGAAUAAUUAUGAAGACGGAGAUGUUAAUCCUGUUGAAGGAAAACUUCCGCUAUCUCUCAUUUUCGACAAACACAUGGAAGAAUUAACUUUUGUAAAAAUUUAUUGUGGUCAAAAAAGAUAAUUUAAAGUAAAACUAAGUCAUGUGGACAUUACAAAAUCAGAAAUAGAUCGAAUAGAUCGUCAUGCUGUAUCCGUUUUCACUAUGACAGAUCAUGAAAGGGUAUUGUAAGGAUUGUAAUUAUAUCAAGAUCCAUAAUAUAAAAUGAUCAUGAAUGAAAACAUUUUUAUUUGUUAGAAAUACGAGAAAUAUUUGUUUUU